rnacentral:rRNA from 1 species
GACGAACGCUGGCGGCGUGCCUAAUACAUGCAAGUCGAACGCAGUGGGGACGGGUGAGUAACACGUGGGUAACCUCCCAUCAGAGGGGAUAACCCUUGGAAACAGGUGCUAAACUGAUACUGAUGGAUGUACUCGCGGUGCAUUAGCUCGUUGGUGAGGUAACGGCUCACCAAGGCCACGAUCCAUAGACGGCCUGAGAGGUGGACCGGCCACACUGGGACUGAGACACGGCCCAGACUCCUACGGGAGGCAGCAGUGGGGAAUAUUCGGCAAUGGGCGAAAGUCUGAUCGAGCCAUGCCGCGUGUGGGAUGAAGGCUUUCGGGUUGUAAAGCUCUUUUGUUAGAGAGGCGGUAUCUACCCAGAAAGCAACGGCUAACUACGUGCCAGCAGCCGCGGUAAUUC